rnacentral:tRNA from 1 species
UCCCUGGUGGCUCAGUGGUAAAGAAUCUGCUUGCCAAUGCAGGAGACACAGGUUUGAUCCCUGGCUCGGGAA